UACGAAGGGUGCUAGCGUUGCUCGGAAUUACUGGGCGUAAAGCGCACGUAGGCGGCUCUUUAAGUCGGGGGUGAAAUCCUGGAGCUCAACUCCAGAACUGCCUUCGACACUGGAGAGCUCGAGUCCGGGAGAGGAGAGUGGAACUGCGAGUGUAGAGGUGAAAUUCGUAGAUAUUCGCAAGAACACCAGUGGCGAAGGCGGCGCACUGGCCCGAUACUGACGCUGAGGUGCGAAAGCGUGGGGAGCAAACAGG
rnacentral:rRNA from 1 species